rnacentral:rRNA from 1 species
GAUGAACGCUAGCGGCAGGCCUAAUACAUGCAAGUCGAACGGUCCACUUCGGUGGAUAGUGGCGCACGGGUGCGUAACACGUAUGCAACCUACCUUACAUUGGGGGAUAGCCUUUCGAAAGGGAGAUUAGUACCGCAUAAGACAGUAACAUGGCAUCAUGUAGCUGUUAAAGAUUUAUCGAUGUAAGCUGGGCAUGCGUCCAAUUAGUUAGUUGGUGAGGUAAUGGCUCACCAAGACGAUGAUUGGUAGGGGAACUGAGAGGUCAAUCCCCCACACUGGCACUGAGAUACGGGCCAGACUCCUACGGGAGGCAGCAGUAGGGAAUAUUGGGCAAUGGACGCAAGUCUGACCCAGCCAUGCCGCGUGUAGGAAGAAGGCGUUCUGCGUUGUAAACUGCUUUUAUAUAGGAAGAAACGACCCUUGCGAGGGGCAUUGACGGUAUUAUAUGAAUAAGCACCGGCUAACUACGUGCCAGCCGCCGCAGUAAUAC